CCCUUAGAUGUUCUGGGCCGCACGCGUGCUACACUGAGUAAUUCAAUGGGUAAGGGAACGCUAGAGCAUUACCUAAUCUUGAAAUUUGCUCGUGAUGGGGAUCGACGGUUGCAAUUUUCCGUCGUGAACGAGGAAUACCUUGUAGGCGCAUGUCAUCAUCAUGCGCCGAAUACGUCCCUGCCCUUUGUACACACCGCCCGUCGCUCCUACCGAUUGAGUGAUCCGGUGAGGCUCUGGGACUUGGACGGAAAGAGCGUUUCGCUUGUUCUGUUUGGGAAACUUGGUCGAACCUUAUCAUUUAGAGGAAGGAGAAGUCGUAACA
rnacentral:rRNA from 1 species